GGACUACUCGGGUAUCUAAUCCUGUUUGAUCCCCACGCUUUCGUGCCUCAGCGUCAAUCAUACUUUAGUAAGCUGCCUUCGCAAUCGGAGUUCUGUGACAUAUCUAUGCAUUUCACCGCUACUUGUCACAUUCCGCCUACUUCAAGUACAUUCAAGCCCGGCAGUAUCAAAGGCACUGCGACAGUUAAGCUGCCGUCUUUCACCCCUGACUUACCAGGCCGCCUACGCACCCUUUAAACCCAAUAAAUCCGGAUAACGCUCGGAUCCUCCGUAUUACCGCGGCGGCUGGCAC
rnacentral:rRNA from 1 species